ACGGAGAGUGCAAACGUUGUUCGGAUUCACUGGGCGUAAAGGGCACGUAGGCGGCCAGGCAAAUCGAUCGUGAAAUACCGACGCUCACCGUCGGUGCGGCGGUCGAAAAUACCUGGCUUGAGGAUGUGAGAGGUCGCUGGAACUUCUGGUGGAGCGGUGAAAUGCGUAGAUAUCAGAAGGAACGCCGGCGGCGAAAGCGGGCGACUGG
rnacentral:rRNA from 1 species